rnacentral:rRNA from 1 species
CAAGCGGUGGAGCAUGUGGUUUAAUUCUAUGCAACACGAAAAACCCUACCCGGUCUUGACAUCCACCGAAGUUUUCAUAAAUGAUUCCGUGCCUUCCGGAACACUGAGACAGGUGCUGCAUGGCUGUCCUCACCUCGUGUUGUGAAAUGUUGGGUUAAAUCCCGCAACACGCCCAUCUCUUAUCCUUUGUUGCCAACGGUGCGGACUGGAAACAAAAGGAAAGUGCCAGUGAUGAACUGGAGGAAGGCGGGGAUGAGGUCUAGUCCUCCUGGCCCUUACGACCAGGGGCUACACAACUGCUAAAAGGGCGCCGGCAAAGAGAAGCGACCUCCCAAGAGGAUGCGGACCUCAUAAAGUGCGUUCUAAUCCCUGAUAGCAGUCUCCGCCCCUCUCCCUGGAGUCCGAAAACUCGUAAUUCUGCAUAUAAGGUGACGCGAUUACUUUCCUGGGCCUUGU